AGCCCUGUUGUCCUCCUGGUGCGAAGAGCUCGGCCGCCUGCUGCUGCUCCGACAUCAGAAGAGCCGCCAGAGCGAUCCCCCUGGGAAACUCCCCAUGCAGCCCCCCCUCAGCUCCAUGAGCUCCAUGAAACCCACUCUGUCGCACAGUGAUGGGUCGUUCCCCUAUGACUCUGUCCCUUGGCAGCAGAACACCAACCAGCCUCCCGGCUCCCUUUCCGUGGUCACCACGGUUUGGGGAGUAACCAACACAUCCCAGAGCCAGGUCCUUGGGAACCCUAUGGCCAAUGCCAACAACCCCAUGAAUCCAGGCGGCAACCCCAUGGCGUCGGGCAUGACCACCAGCAACCCAGGCCUCAACUCCCCACAGUUUGCGGGGCAGCAGCAGCAGUUCUCAGCCAAGGCUGGCCCUGCUCAGCCCUACAUCCAGCAGAGCAUGUAUGGCCGGCCCAACUACCCCGGCAGCGGAGGCUUUGGGGCCAGUUACCCUGGGGGUCCUAACGCCCCCGCAGGCAUGGGCAUCCCUCCGCACACCAGGCCGCCUGCUGACUUUACUCAGCCCGCGGCAGCCGCCGCAGCAGCGGCAGUGGCAGCAGCAGCAGCCACAGCUACGGCCACAGCCACGGCCACUGUGGCAGCCCUGCAGGAGACACAGAACAAGGAUAUAAACCAGUAUGGACCGGUCUGUUCCUCUUUCCAGAUGGGUCCCACCCAGGCGUAUAACAGCCAAUUCAUGAACCAGCCCGGGCCGCGGGGGCCUGCCUCCAUGGGGGGCAGCAUGAACCCCGCGAGCAUGGCAGCUGGCAUGACGCCCUCGGGGAUGAGCGGCCCUCCCAUGGGCAUGAACCAGCCCCGGCCGCCCGGCAUCAGCCCCUUUGGCACACAUGGGCAGCGGAUGCCCCAGCAGACCUACCCGGGCCCCCGGCCCCAGUCCCUUCCUAUCCAGAACAUAAAGAGGCCAUACCCUGGAGAGGUGAGUGCAGCAGUGGGAGACUGGGAGGUGGGAACUGGGACACCUGGGCUUGAAGACAUGGGCCGUGGGUACGGCUUUGGAAGAGGUGUGGCUUGGACUCCAGCACACUUGGACAAAGAGGCAGGGGCUUAGGGGUCAGGUGCUCCUGGGUUUGAGACCUGGUUCUGCUGUUUCCCAACUGAAAGACCUUGAGCCAGUCACCCUGCCUCCUAAGGCUGCUUGAGGGACUUGAGGAGGUGUCCGUGAAGUGCUUGGCCCUGGGCUGGCAUGUGCCGCCACUCAGCAAGCAGCAGUUCCUCUUACUGUAGUGACUCUUGUCUUGGCUCAGCCCCUAACUGGGUGACCUGGGUUUAGUUCCUCCUGCUUACAUGAGAGCUUCCCCAACUCCUCUCCAAGAAAGAGAGCUGAGACAAAAUGCUUCCAGUGUAUAAGGGCUGACCCGUCGGGGAAGUGACUGGAAGGCAGGCAGCGUGUUUCCAGUCUACAAGGAUUGACCUGUCGGGGAAGUGACUGGAAGGCAGAGAGCGUGUUUCCAGUCUAUAAGGACUGACCCGUCGGGGAAGUGACUGGAAGGCAGGCAGCUAUUUCCAGUCUAUAAGGAUUGACCCGUCAGGGAAGUGACUGGAAGGCAGGCAGCGUGUUUCUUAGCUCUUGUUUCCAUCCACACUUGGUCACUGUAUAGGAAGUGGCACUGCCUCUUGGGCUGCACAGCCAGCUCAGCCAAGGUGUUGGGGAAGAUUUAGGGAAGUACAACCCACACCUCCUGCCCUCUGGGAAGUGAGGUUUUAGCAGGAAAGAAAAGUUUUGAGCAGAGACUCACCAGGGAAUGAAGCAUGGCAGGCUUCCUGGAGGGAGUGUCACAAGUGAAUCCUCAGAAAACAAUGCUGGCAGCAGCUGGCCCAUCUGGGUACCCAGGUAAGGAUUUGGUUUACCUGCAGAAGACGUAGGGAUGUGGCUCUGCAGAUGGCCCUCGUGAAGCCCUGGCUGCUCCCCACGACCAAGCCCCUUUUUGAGCAGGGUGUGCCCAGCUCUCUGCCUGCCUCCCUCCCAGCUCGCAUGCCCACUCUCAGAGCAGUUUUCUCCUCCUAGCUCCUCUCAGCACUGUGGCCUUCACCUUGGGCUCACAGCGGCUUUAGAUUCCAAAGACCUUAAGUUCCUUGAAGAUCUGCACAUUUCCCCUCAGUAUCCACCUUAGGAUGGGCUGGGAGGCUUGGCAACAAGUGGAGGUAUCCUGAGUUCAGGAGGGGAAAGAGAGAGAGAGGGGUCAGGGGCUUCCUCAUGCAUCCAAGAGGCUGGAUCAAGCCCCAACCCUCCACCUGGUGGACACUAGUUCAGGGAGGGGCCAGAGAAGGACCAUUGGCUCCUGGGUCCUGAGUUUGGGGGAGCCUCAAGCUGUUGGCACCUCUCCUGGCACCCAGGCCCCGUGCAGUUUCUAGGCCUUUUCUCAGCCACCCUGUGCUCAAAAUCCCAGUGUCCCAGUGGCUGUGCUGGGGGUGCAUCUGUUAGCCCAUGCCAAAGGAGGCAAUCUCGGAUGAGGCUGCAGCAGAAUUCCUGGUCAUUGGUGUCACCCCUGCCCCUGCACCUGUGCCGUGCUUAUGGCUCUUGCCUGCCUAAAGAGAGCACACCAAAGGCUCUCCAUAUGUUUACUAAAUUAAUCAUCCUUUUCAUAGAGUGCUGGUGCUACCCAGCUACAGCACUGGGUGGUCACAGCCUAUGCGGCCUGAUCCUAUCUGGGAAGACUGGCCUUCCUUCCCCUUGCCAUGGCUUGCUCAUACAGUAUUUGAAUUGUUGGAACCUUAGGACAGGGGUUGGGUCAUCUGGUCCCACAGAGGACUCUCUUCUCUAGCUUGGUGGGCAGGUAGGCACCAGCUACAUCUUCUACACCUCCUGUGGUAGGUGCCUCACUGUCACCCAGAGCAGCUACCAUGUUGCAACAAUGUGAGUUGUAGAUUCCUCCACACUGACACUCUCUGACAUUUAUCCCCAAGUCCAUCAUUCAUUUGUUGAGCAAGUAUUAAGGGCAUUUUGCCAGGCACUGGGGCACAGCCACCAACAGGACCUCUGGGCAAAAGAGACACUCAGAUGGGGAAGAAGAAACCACUGACUCACAGGAUGUCAUGUGGCCAUGAGGGUCACUUGAUUUUCCAGACAGGGAAGGUGGCUGGAGGGUGGUGCUCUCUCCUCUUCUCUAAAUUGUCUCUCCCGGGAGAAGUUGUCUUGUUCCUUCACCAACCUGGCUCUCCCACCUCCUGCACAGGUGGCAGGUUGUCAAUGGUCCAGAACUGAACACUAGGUAUGUGUUCUGCUCUGAGGGGAGUACGAGGACAAUGCCACCCAGGUUCAGCCUCGGAAUGCGGGGGCACAGGGGGCUCCUUUCUGGAAGUGCAUCCUGUUGACUGUGUUCCUCUGUCACAUUGGGGUACACAUUGGGGAGCACAGCCCUAAUCCAGGCGCCAGGAGAGACGCAAAGGUCGGGGGAGUUAGAAUCAGGCCCCUCAUAAUGGUGUGAGCAAGAGGCUCUGAAAGUGUCCCUGGAGUUCAGGGGGCACAUAUGCUCCAGGAAGAACGGCCUCAAGGGGAGGUGGCCUAUGAUCUGGACAGGCAGAACAAAAUGCCCCUGGGUGUCAGGAUGAGAAGGGGCCCAAAGCAUCAUCUAGUUUUGUGGGUGGGAAGCAGCAGGGGCAAAUGAGGAGAGGCGGGCCCCAUCCCGGUGUUCAGGUGACCUGGCUAUGUGUGACGUUGGCAUCAUUGAAAGUGUUUCCCCUCUCCUUUCUCUCCCACCACAGCCCAACUAUGGAAACCAGCAAUAUGGACCAAACAGCCAGUUCCCCACCCAGCCAGGCCAGUACCCAGCCCCCAACCCCCCGAGGCCACUCACCUCCCCCAACUACCCAGGACAGAGGAUGCCCAGCCAACCAAGCUCCGGGCAGUACCCGCCCCCCACGGUCAACAUGGGGCAGUAUUACAAGGUGAGUCCCAGCCUCACCACCACCCACGGGGCCCCUUCCCUGCUAACCACCUCACUCCCCUAACUCCACCGGGAUCACUCUGACCCUGCGUGUGUUUGCCCCAAGGACAGCGAGGGGUGGGUGAUUUCUGAACGUCCCCAUGUGUUCAGGGUGAAGUUCGGUGGCCAGAAUGUCAGAGUGGCUUUUCUCAGUUCCUAUUCUCAUUGGUCUCGGAUGAUGGUUUUUUUUCUCCUUUUCUUAUUCACGGCACUCACAAAAUAAUAAAGGAAAUCUAUUUAAUU
rnacentral:sRNA from 1 species